rnacentral:sRNA from 1 species
UUUGUUUCCUCACUGGUAGUGGUUGGCCAGUCUCUAGUUGGAACUGGGGCGAGUAGUGAGUGAGGUGGGGCGGCCCCCUGGCCCCUGUGGGUGGCGGGGGCUGUGCAGGGCUCUGACUGGGUGCUCCCCCAGGGGCAGAGAUGCAGCCUUAUGUGCAGAUGGUCCUCAACAACCUGGUGGAGAUCAUUAACCGACCCAACACACCCAAGACACUGCUGGAAAACACAGCCAUCACCAUCGGCCGCUUGGGCUACGUGUGCCCCCAGGAGGUGGCACCCAUGCUGCAGCAGUUCAUCCGGCCUUGGUGCACGUCCCUCAGGAACAUCAGGGACAACGAGGAGAAGGACUCAGCCUUCCGCGGCAUCUGCAUGAUGAUCGGUGUCAACCCGGGGGGCGUUGUGCAGGUUGGGGCAGCUGGGCUCUGAGGGCAGGCGCGGGCGCUGGGCUCGGGCGGCCCCUCACCUGGGAUCCGUCACGUUUCAGGACUUUAUUUUCUUCUGCGAUGCUGUAGCCUCCUGGGUGAGCCCGAAGGAUGACCUUCGGGACAUGUUUUAUAA